GACGAACGCUGGCGGCGUGCUUAACACAUGCAAGUCGAACGGAAAGGCCCUGCUUUUGUGGGGUGCUCGAGUGGCGAACGGGUGAGUAACACGUGAGUCACCUGCCCUUGACUGUGGGAUAACUUCAGGAAACUGGGGCUAAUACCGGAUAGGAGCUCCUGCUGCAUGGUGGGGGUUGGAAAGUUUCGGCGGUUGGGGAUGGACUCGCGGCUUAUCAGCUUGUUGGGGGGGUAGUGGCUUACCAAGGCUUUGACGGGUAGCCGGCCUGAGAGGGUGAACGGCCACAUUGGGACUGAGAUACGGACCAGAGUCGUACGGGAGGCAGCAGUGGAGAAUAUUGCACAAUGGGCGGAAGCCUGAUGCAGAAACGCCGCGUGCGGGAUGACGGCCUUCGGGUUGUAAACCGCUUUCGCCUGUGACGAAGCGUGAGUGACGGUAAUGGGUAAAGAAGCACCGGCUAACUACGUG
rnacentral:rRNA from 1 species